rnacentral:rRNA from 2 species
GAAUUUUAUAUAGAUUUUAAUGAAGUAAUUAAUAAUGGAUGGAUUAUUAAGAUUUAUAUUUAGUUGGGAGGAUUAUUAAAUUUUAAAAACUUUAAUAAAUAUAUGACAUUGAUUUAUGAUAUGAAGUUAAGUGAUUAAAAUUGUUAAGAAUUUUAUAUAAAAAUUAAUUACCUUAGGGAUAACAGCGUAAUAUUUUUAAAAAGAUCUUAUUAAUAAAAAUGAUUGC